AUAAAGGUCUUAAAGCUAAUAAGUUCCCAGCCUUGAUCAACUAUGGGAUUAGCAACUCUGCUACCGUAUUCUAUUGGGUCAGAGAGAGGAUAUGAAGACUAACUAUGACUGAAGGUCUACAGCCAUUUAGACACAACAGUUCUCUAUGCAAGAUUCAGACAGACUCCAAUUUCAGAUACGAAAUUUCAGACAUUAAUUCAAUGUUACCUUUCCCUUUUUUUGUCUCCCCUUUUCACCAUAAUAUCACAAGCUUCUGCUGCAGAAUCCAGACACGAAAGAAAGUCUUCUAUGCUCUGAAAAGGGCAAAAGAAAUUCCUUUGGAAUUGUGCCUUUGACAUGUACUGGAUACCACAAACUAGGGAUAAAAAUAUGCUAAAACACUCUAAAAUCAGAAUGCUAGUCAACAGUCGGUCAAAGACGCUAGAUGCAGCCGCUACUCCUCCCAUCUGCUCCAGCAGUAUAAGAAGAAGAAUGAUAAACAGAGAGCGCAUGAGUGAAUGAGCAUAUACGCACCAUUCAUCGUGCAAGAAAAAUAAUUUGGGAUGUGAGAAAAUAAAACAUGCUUGGAUUUCAAAGCAAAACACAUCAAGAGUGGCAAGAAAAUCACUAACUUACUUCACUUGUAAUGGUUGCAGGGUUGUCUACUGCCAUCAUUAAGUCCGAAGCUAAGAAGUUGAAAAUGAGAUUAGUGACAUCAGUACACACUGUCUUCAGCAAGUGCUUCGUAAGAGCAGCCUGGGUAUCAUCUGGAAAAUAAAAGUGCUUCAUUAAAAUGAAUGUCCAAGGACAAUUAUGAGAAUCAACGAAAAAACAGUGUUAAGUAUAAUACCUACCUGUAAAGAACUUCAUCCCUUUUUCAAAUAAUCGAAUAUUAUUAUAAAGGUUUGAAACCUCUUCUUGCAAGUCCUUGAUCGUGUGCUUCCUGCCAGUUCCAGAGGCAGAAGUUGAAGACAUGAAUACUGAACGUACCACUUCGAGAUAAGUUUUAUUUAGAGG